UCAUUAAAGUGUCCCAUUUUAAAGAAAACCCAUGGGAUCAAAGGCUCAACGCUCAACACAUACAUAACACAACCCAAGGCUUAUUUGCAAUAAAAUAAGCCCAAGUGACUUAUCUACAUCAGUAAGUCAUUCCAAUAGUUAAAUGAGAUGGCCUCAUGUUGUUUUGAAGUCUAAAUCAACCAAAAGAUUCCAUCUAUUUUUUUCCCUUGAGGUGUGAAGUUUUUCCCCAUAGCCUGUCUCACUCUUGUGAAAACCUUUGCUAACCAAGCAAGCCUUGGAUUAAGUCAUGUUGUCAUUAGCAUCAUAGCAUGUACGCCCAUAUGGAAUUAAUAUCCAUAUUACAAAUUACUAAAGCUAAACUGCUAAAGUAUGUGGACGCCUAUGAUUUGUCACACUUGGCUCCCCUGUGUGGGAUCCUUGUGUUAACGUGUUUUAAUCCAGAGUCCCAGACACUUGCCUGGACAUGCCUAAACAUGGAUUUGGACAUGUUACCUCAGAGAUAACUGGAAAAAAGAAAAAAAUCCAGUUGCUGAUUCAUAUAUUGACUAGGAUCAAAAUGGGAAGGAGGAGGAAUAAAAUGUUUGAAUCGGAAAACAACAACAAAUAGUGGAAAGGAAAUCCCAUCGGGUGUUUUAUUUGGGGGUGGGGGGUGUGAAUAGAAGGAGAUGGGAUAAAAGGAGAGGAAGUUCUACAUACCUGACUCAUAUAAGCAGAAAGCCACUGCAUCUGUAACGUCCAAGUUUGCAAUUUGGUUGCUCAAAACCCAGUCGAGGGUUUGAGGGGAAAACCUAAUUUUUGGGGCUUUCUCCAUAGAGACCUAGCAUGACUCAACAUUUAUUUUGCUGGGUUCUCUUGUUUAUUUAUUAUUAGAUCUGCCGAACCCUUGUUUUUACAAUAUGACGUUUACCUUUCUAGCAAAUGUGGGAGCCUCGUGCACCGGUGAUGUAAGACUAGAUCACAAAGGUCCUAAUCUCGGGCAGGAUCUGAAAAAUCUGGCUGAAUAGGAAAAAAUAUGAGAUCUCACAAAUCGUAGCUCAGAUAGACCUGAAAUUUGGUAUAAAAGUGGCCAAUAAGAUCCUCAAAUUACCAUCCAAAUUUGGCUUGAACCAAGUAGGUACGAAACCAAUCACGCUCAUAGAUACCACGUAUAGGAGAAAAUAGGUGUUUUGAGAACUCGAAUGGGGAGAAAAAUUGUUGCAAACACACCUGGCCUCCAAAGGUCCUCAAGUCUUGAAAGAGGCAAGGUCCUCAAGUCUUGAUCGAGUGCCUCUUUCAAGGAGUAGAGCAAGCGUUCAAAAGGUCUGGCUGGUUGGCUCACAGAUCUAGGAGUUCCAGAGAUUGACCAAGGAAAGGAAGCUUGUGUAACAGGCUGAGUUCGAUCCCUGAUCCUUGCUGUACUUCAAGCCUCUGUAGAUUGUUCUUCUAACCUUCAAAGAACCUUGUUACAACUCUCAAAUCACCCUCGUACAAGUUAAAAUAAAGAAGAAAAUAAGAAAACAGAAAAGGAAUUGAUUGAGGGGUUGAGAAGGGGGAAGAAGAUUAGUGAAUCAUCUCACCUAAUUGCAUCCCACAACACAACAACAUAAGCCAUCCUUUUUUGUUUAACUCAAAUCUGUCUUUUCAUUAUAAUUGAUGUGUAAGUACCAGAGACCUCCGUGGAUUAAGAUAUGGUGCCAUCGCGUGGAUACACGCUAGGGUUCGACCCUAAUGAGGUAGUAUCCCCUGAUCAUCAAAUGCCAAGAGGGGUAUACACGAUAUGGGUAAAAGGGAGACGCCACCUAGAAAGGGUCUAGGACCCAUAAAUGUCUCCCCCAAUCAAGGGAGAGAGACUAAUGACUCAAUGGAUAAGGUUGGUUUGCACCAAGAUUCUGGGUAAAUGUCAAGUGACAGGCCGGGAAGGUGUUAGGCACCUAGUUUUCCAGGCCCUAAGGCUGGUCUCUUUCUGUUUGACCAAAGUUUAUUUGUACCCUACUAACUAGUCCUAAAUCUAGGUCAUUGGAAACCCUAAACUAGGUAUCUAAGUAAUGACAUGUGUGAAACCUUGAACCAUGUGUCUAUGUUAUGCUAACCUAGGUUAUAAUGCAAAUAAUGACAUGAUUAUGCUAAUCAAAGAUUAAAAACCCUAAAUGAUUUAAACCAUUGUAUUGUGAGUCUUAGAUUAAGCUAAUUAAACAGGCCUAGACCUAGGAUUAGUUAAGCAACUUAUGAAACCUUAAACUAAACUAAAUCGAUUAAUUGAGCCUAACCUAGAUGGAUGAUUAAUAAAUUUAUGAAAUCCUAAAUUGAACCAGUUGGUAAAAGCCUUUUAAGUUAAUUAAGAUUUAAUCAAUCUGAAAAGGUGAAUUACAUUAAGUGAGUACGUUCCACAAACCUAAUUGAUCUAGUGUAUAAAAAAUACUGAACCUAAUGUUUAAAUAGAGGUGAUGUGAUGUCAUAAUUUAGCUAAUCAUAUUCACAUUAAGCUAGCCUAGGAUGAGUUAAACAUUUUUCAAAACCCUAAUCAAUCUAAAUGAGAAAUGAUUUUAGAUUAAAUAAAAACGAUGGUGAAUAGCUAUAAAUUACAUAUGGCUAAAAUUAUUCUAUGCCAUACCUACAUUAUGUUAAAGAAUCUAAAAGUUAUAUUAAUUGAAUUAAUUAGAGAAUAAAACAACUAAUCAAUUUAAAAAAGGGAAAGCUAUCAAAGGGAAAUGAUACAUGAGUUUAAGUACUUAAGCGAAUCAAAGAAGCUAAUGAAAUGAUUAAAGAAAGCUAAACAAACUAAAAAAAAAGAGGAAAAAUUAGGUGAAUUGGAAUACAAGUAUACUAAUUGAACAAGUUAAAAAGACUAAAAGCACUACUUUAAACAAGAUUUGAUUUUUUUCCUGCAUUUAAAGAAAUAGGGUGAAAAACCCUAAAAAAAAAGAAAUGAUAAUACAAACCCAAUCCUCCCAAAUACGGCCUAAUGCUACGAGCCGGUUUGAAGGGCCUGCCACGCCCUUGCUAACAUACUCCCUAGAGUCCUAGACUACGUCCCAUACGUUAUUAAGAGGGAAAUAAAAGAAAAUCAUUUGAUUUUAAAGUUUAAAAUUAGGGGAAUCCCAACCCUAAAUUUUAAGACUGGAUAUGUUAGAGACCUGAAAUCAAAACAAAAAUGGAUAAAAUAAAAAUAAAGAACAAAAGGAGGGGAAGAUUCCACACAGAAAACAGAAAUGAAAUAACAGGUUAGGGGUGUUACAAAUAUGGACUAUCUAAUCAGCAAAUUAAAGAAAUAAAAAAAAAAAAAGCAAGAAAAUGAAAUAGGGAGAAGAAGAGAAGACGAUGGGCUGGAGAUGGAUUUUGGCAAAGGGAAGAAGAUGAGAACUGUAGUGGUUCAGAUUUUGGCUAUGGAGAAAAGUAAGAAGAAGAAGAAGAAGAAGAAGAAGAAGAAGAAGAAGAAGUUGCAGUGUUUUGGAGUGGAGAAGAUGGGUUGCAGGUUCAGGUUUCAGCGAGGGAAAGAAGUUGCAGUUCAGCCAAAAGAAAAGAGAUGGAAAAGAAGAGAAGGUGAAGAUAAAAAAAGAAAAGAGAUGGAAGAAGAAGAAAAAAAAAAGAUAGAUGGAGGUUUCGGUUUCAGCAGUGUGAAGAAGAAGAAGAAAAGGAGUGCUUGUGGGUUUCAGGUCAGAGUUUCAGCAAAGAAGGAGAAAGUUGCAGAGCUGGGAUGGCUGCUGUUUAGUGGUUGCAGCAGCAGGGAAAGAAAAAAAAAAGAAGAGGAAAAAGAAGAAAGUUGCAGAGCUGGGAUGGCUUCUGUUUAGUGGUUGCAGCAGCAGGGAAGAAAAAGAGAGAGAGAAGAGAAGGAAUAAGUGGUGCUGGUCGGGUUUCAGCAGUGUUUCAGCAAAAGAAAAGAGAUGGAAAAGAAGAGAAGGAGAAGGUAAAAAAAAGAAAAGAGAUGGAAGAGAAGAGUGCUCGGUGGGUUUCAGGUCAGAGUUUCAGCGAAAGAAAAAAAUAAAACUAAUUAAUUGAAGGAAAAUAUAGUAAUAAAAGAAACAAACCAAAUUAAAAGAAGAAAAAGACGGCUGGGAGUUUCAUAUUGUUGGAGAGGAAUUAGGUUAAGGUUUGGAUCCUAAUCUAAGGGUCCAGAUCUAAAGAAUAAAAAAGCAAA